GUGAAUCAUCAAAUCUUUGAACGCAAAUUGCACUCUCCUCGGAGCGUAUGCCUGUUUGAGGGUCAGCCUAUAAAAAUCGACAUCUUUGCUGUUUUGUGGUGGCGUUAGUCGGAAAUUGGGUCAUUUUAUUUACUUUUGAUUUUAGCGUCUUAAAGUUUUCUUUUGGUUCCUUGUACGUUUCUAAGUUCUAUUUUUUUACACGUUUAUGUUAUCGUUUUUUACUAGACGUGACUAUAAUAUCGGAUAGCGUCACUAAU
rnacentral:misc_RNA from 1 species